CGAAUUUGAUAUAAAAAUAAAUUGUUUACCAUCGAUAUUGCUAUCUUUCGUGACUCCCGGGUGGUCCGCUUAAUAACCGAACCAGGGUUUAAGAGAAAAAAAUGUUGCUUUACUUAAGAAUUUUAAAGAAGAAAAUGGUGCUUGGCUGCUCAGAAAAUACCAUGUGCAGAAAAUUUCUGAAAGCAAACCAACUACCAGACGCAACAAAUUUUUGAAAUGAAGAAAAUGUGCAAACGUGAGGAAGAAAAUGAGCAGUGUUGGCUUUUACAGCCAAAUCCAUUAAUUAAAAUUGGUUUAUUUAUACUAUAGAUCCCUCCUAAUUCUACCCUUGUUUUAAUAAAUCCCCCACUAAUCAUUAAUCAUAAAUUACCUAUUUAAGUUCUCUAGUUUAGCUUCUAUUCCUAUUUUGUCCUAAUUACUAACGUGUUUUUUA
rnacentral:lncRNA from 1 species